rnacentral:tRNA from 1 species
AUGGCUGAAUUGUAGGCAAUAAAUUGUAAAUUUAUUUAUGAAUUAAUUUCUUUUACCA